UGAAAAUCACCUCCAUAGGCCUGGUCUAAAUAGGUAGCAGGUGGAAAUCAAUUCAGUGAACUCAAUGUUUCUGUUUCCUGUCUCAGGACACACUCAGGAGGCACCUGAGGAGUCCAUCAAUCUGUCACUGGAAAGGGGAGAGGUGGCGGGAGAAAGGAGAUUCCUGAAUCACCCACAUUUUUUUGAGAGGGAGAGGAGAGGAUGUUUCAUGAGUCCAUAAAAUCCCAAAGUCUGGAACCACUGACAACUCAUCUCUGUCUUAUCUGAAAAAAACUCGCUGACAUCUCCUGUUGGCCUUAAGUGAGACACCGGGCUCCUUAAAAGAAAUAGCACAUUUCAGUAAAUGGCCGUUGGCCCUUACUGGUCCUAUGUAUGUUGGAAAGAUCUGCGGUUCUGCAGACCUGGUUUCCAGCCCUGACUCUGUGACUGAUGGAUGACAAGUCGAUGAGUGAAUGCUGAAUCUCACGGCACCUGGAUGACUGUUGUUCAGAGAGAAGAAUGGUACUGACCUGCCUCACCAAGAGAAGUGGCAGAUGCAUUAACUGCCUAAUGAUGCUGAUGUGCUUUGAGAAUAUAAACGUGAAACAUGAUCAUUAUGGUCAAUAGUAGUCUUUGGAUUAAAAUUUUGUUUUCCUCAAAGAGGAGAGGAAGAAAGAUUAUUUAAAGAAAUAGUGAAUAGAGGGCCCCAGUUUGUUCUUCAUUAGUGAUUGACUUUGAUCAGAAUGGCAUAAGCAGUGGGAAUGUGGUCUUAAAAUCCAGAAGGGAAUUAUCUCUACUUCAGGGCAUGAAGUCUUCUCUUUCUCCUCCUCCCACUGGGGAAAAAAGUAAAGAGAGAAAAAGCUAGGGAAGCAAAUGCUCUUAAAAAAUAAGAUGAUUUCUCUAUGUCAGGUCUGAAAAUAGUAUUUCCUAAAGCUACUGCUAUGUCAGAGACCAAGC